AUGUGGAAAAGUGGAAUGGAAAGUUAAGUUAGCGGUGAAAUGCCAGUCGAACUUUAUAUAUCUGGUUGUUUUUGAAGUAAAUUGAAUUUGACUUUAGUGAAAAAUUUCACUGGAGGUUCAUUUAAGGGGGAAAAGCUCCUUAAUUUUGUGUAUAAGAGUGUUUUUUGAUUAAUUAGAAUUAGGCUUAAGACCAGCCAUAUUACUACAACGUUUUAGUGCAUAGUUGUUUAUACAAAAAAUUUGUUUCUUUUUAUGGAAAGUAGGAAAUUAGGUGCAGAAAUGUGGGCUGUUCUGAAAAAAUGAUUGUAUUAGUAAAAUUUUUGUUAAAAGAAUUUAAAAAUCUAAAUUUGUAUAAUUUAAAUUUUGAGAGUUAUUUUUAAGGAAUUCGGCAAUUUGUGUGCCCACCUGUUUAUCAAAAACAUGUCUAUUGGGUUUAAAUCGAUAGUCUGACCUGCCCACUGAAUAUUUUAAAUGGCCGCGGUAUUUAGACCGUGCUAAGGUAGCAUAAUCAAUAGUCUUUUAAUUGGGGACUAGAAUGAACGGUUGGAUGAGGUACAAGCUGUCUGGCAAUUGUAAUUUUGAAUUUUACUAUUAAGUGAAAAGGCUUAAAUUAUUUAGCGGGACGACAAGACCCUAUAAAGCUUUUAUUUGUCUUAGUAUUUUAACUAUGAUAUUUUUGUGCUUAUGUUAAAAUUGGGGUCAAAUUAGGUUGGGGCGACUGGGAUAUAAAAGGUAACUGUCCUUAUGAUUAAAAUAAUGGUUUUUAGGUAGUUGAUCCUGUAAUAUGGGUUAAAAGAUUAAAGUUACUUUAGGGAUAACAGCGUAA
rnacentral:rRNA from 1 species